GCAGGAGAUUGCUGACAAUCCUCAUCUGUUCGUCGGUGGAGCGAGUCGAUUCGACGUACAGCAGGGAGAACUCGGUGAUUGCUGGUGGUUGGCAGCAGUAG